GAUGAACGCUAGCUACAGGCUUAACACAUGCAAGUCGAGGGGCAGCACAGAGAUAGCUUGCUAUCUUGGGUGGCGACCGGCGCACGGGUGAGUAACGCGUAUCCAACCUGCCCAUUACUCUGGGAUAGCCUUGCGAAAGUAAGAUUAAUACCGGAUGUUGUUAAAAACCCGCAUGAGUUUUUAACCAAAGAUUUAUUGGUAAUGGAUGGGGAUGCGUGACAUUAGGUAGUUGGUGAGGUAACGGCUCACCAAGCCUACGAUGUCUAGGGGUUCUGAGAGGAAGGUCCCCCACACUGGAACUGAGACACGGUCCAGACUCCUACGGGAGGCAGCAGUGAGGAAUAUUGGUCAAUGGACGACAGUCUGAACCAGCCAAGUAGCGUGCAGGAUGACGGCCCUCUGGGUUGUAAACUGCUUUUAGUUGGGAAUAAAAAGAGGGACGUGUCCCUAAUUGUAUGUACCAUCAGAAAAAGGACCGGCUAAUUCCGUGCCAGCAGCCGCCGCAGUAA
rnacentral:rRNA from 1 species